GAUGAACGCUGGCGGCGUGCCUAAUACAUGCAAGUCGAGCGAACAGACGAGGAACUUGCUCCUCUGACGUUAGCGGCGGACGGGUGAGUAACACGUGGAUAACCUACCUAUAAAACUGGGAUAACUUCGGGAAACCGGAGCUAAUACCGGAUAAUAUAUUGAACCGCAUGGUUCAAUAGUGAAAGACGGUUUUGCUGUCACUUAUAGAUGGAUCCGCGCCGCAUUAGCUAGUUGGUAAGGUAACGGCUUACCAAGGCAACGAUGCGUAGCCGACCUGAGAGGGUGAUCGGCCACACGGGAACUGAGACACGGUCCAGACUCCUACGGUAGGCAGCAGUCGGGAAUCUUACGCAAUGGGCGAAAGCCUGACGGAGCAACGCCGCGUGAGUGAUGAAGGUCUUCGGAUCGUAAAACUCUGUUAUUAGGGAAGAACAAAUGUGUAAGUAACUAUGCACGUCUUGACGGUACCUAAUCAGAAAGCCACGGCUAACUACGUG
rnacentral:rRNA from 1 species